GGCAAGCUGUCGUUGUUGGCUGCCUGGCCUCCUCUCUCAGCCUCGAUUUCCACCCUCCCUGACCCUCGUGGAGUGGCUAGAGAGGAGAACCCAGUGGUUUCUGUACCCAUCCCUCCUGUCUUCUCCCGCACAUCCUCAACUUUCUUUUCUUUCAGUCACACAGGCAGUGUCCCUGGCCCGCUCUUCUCAGACAACCCUUCAGGUCUCUCAAGAAUGUCCCCGUAUUCCUCUAAAGAGAACAAUACCACAGAUGAUUCUUAUGCAGUCAGUCUAUGAAACCAAGUUUGGAAACUCAACUAAAUUAUGUGGCAUAGAAAGAGCUUCCUAUGACUGCAAGGGACAUAUGGAAAGAAAAGAACUAAAGGUACCAGGACCCUGGAGCCCCUUCUGAAGAUAGGAAUUAUCAGACCCCUUUUAAAGUCUUCCUUGCUUACAAGUGAGGUUUCAUAACUGCUGGAGGUGGGAAGCUUAAGUGAUUUGCCUUUGAAAAAUUGGUCAAGAGAACAUAGCUCAGAACCUAGAUGGUUUUAUUAGCAAGUCUUUUAAGGUUAAUGGAGAAAUUUAAAUGUCUGUAACUAUUAGAUAUGGGGAAAUUUGCAGGGCUGCUGCAGUGCUGGAUUUGGGAUCAGCUCUGAGUUUUAAGUCCUUACUAGCUGUGUGGCUUUGCCUGAGUCAACUCAUCUCUAAGACAUUCAGCCACUUUUUCUCCAGAACAUAAAAAAUAUGGGAAAAGAUGAGUGAAAACAUAUCAUCAGUGCUCUUGGAUCAAUGGGCUGGAGAUAAGAUAAGAAAUAGGAGGCUCCUAUGGCUGCUGGCAAGAUCCAAAAUAACUCACACUCUAGGAAAGCCCUGCUGUCAGUGGAUCUGGCCUUCCAAAUUGACAGAUGGGGCAGCAAACUGAGCAGUAAGGUUGGGGAGUCUCCAGACACUUCCUCAGGGUUACAGUGUCUGAAAUUUUAUCAUUUUAACAUUUAGAGACUGCUCUUCAGAACUUCUCUGCUUAUGCUUCUCUUUGAAAUAUGAGAAAGCCCUAAUGAGCCAACUUGGUGCUAUAUUUUAAUUGUCUGUUUUAUGAAGAACCACAAGAACAUGUGUGUGGGGAGGGUGGGUGACAUGGGGACACCGGAGAAGAAAUGUGGCGAGAGAGAAAGUGGCAUAGGAAAGGGGAGUGAGAGGUGCUGAGGCCACGUUCUGCUGGCUUCUCAACAUCUCCCUCACUGUAGACUUAGCUGCACCCACGGGGUGAGAUGAACUUCUGGUGCCCCCUAACGGUGGGACAUUUGCUACCAGAAGUCUGCUUGAACCUGGCAUCAGGCUCCUCAGAUGGGGCAGGUAGGCCAUCUCAGUUAAGGGGAAACCUGUGUAAUGACGAGUGUCGUUAAGAAGGUGGCCAAUGUGCCAUAGCAGGGGACACAUCCUUUUAUGAGGAAAAAAUUGUGCUGUCCAUGUGGGACCAAUCUGCAUUGUCCCUUGAAGAAGAUGAUGUCUCACUGCAGUGUUUGCUUAUAGAUGACUCACCAGGAAAUCAGCUGUGGCUUUCACUGAUUCCCAAUGGGAAACAUCCACUGUGGCAGGAAAAAUACCAGGGGAGUGCGGUAAGUUGAAGUAAGGUCCCACGUUGGUUUUUUCUCCCCCCCCCAAAAAAAAACUGUAAGAUACAGCACAGUAGCAUUUUCUCUCAGAAGAGAGAGAUCUAGUUAGUUGUUAAUCAUCAGUGUCUUCAUUUGCUCAUCUCUUCUGCUCAGGUGAACUGGCCGGCCUGCCUUUAAUGGACCGAAACAGGAGUCAGCAAACAGAUGGCAAUUUCAGGCUAUCACGCUCUAGCUGUUACCAAUAGCUAAAAAUGCAAAAAUUAUAUUAAAACAUGCAUGUCUCAUUUCACACACCACAGUACCCAUUAUCAUUAUGUUAGAGGCUCUAGAUUCUGAUUUUAAUAAAUUAAUUUAACCACUUUCUAUCUCUUUAUAG
rnacentral:lncRNA from 1 species